CGGCCGCCCCCGCAUCCAGCGCCCGGGCCGCCGCGCUCACCAGGGCACCACCAACACUUAAGCCUCCAUCUUCAGGCAAGAAAGUCUGUGAUAUGAAUGAAGGGAUCAUAAAAGGCACAUGGAAUCAAAGCUUUUGGUCAACUGCCAACAAGGUACAGAGGCCCAACAGCAAUCAUCGAAUGAACUUGGAAGUGGAUCCUCUCACCCCAGUUGAGCCUUCUGAUGACUGCAGCCCUGGCUGAUGCUUGACUACAACUUCAUCAGAAAUCCUCAUGAAGAUCCAGCACCUUCCAGUUAGCCCAUCUGUGGGUUCUUGACCCUCAGAAAUUCUAUGAGAUAAUAAAUAUUUGUUGUUUUAAGUUGCUAAACUUUGGG
ensembl:lncRNA TPBGL-AS1 TPBGL antisense RNA 1